UUUUUCAUGAGAGUUUGAUCCUGGCUCAGGACGAACGCUGGCGGCAUGCCUAAUACAUGCAAGUCGAACGCGACUGUAUCACCG
rnacentral:rRNA from 1 species